UGACACUUUAAUUUUUCUUGUGUGGAUUCUUUGACAAACGGAAGUCCACUUCUCACACACAAACAAAUUCCGGACAUCGCAUUUGUCAAUUUUUCUCAUAUCUCUCUCUCCAAAAAAAACACGAGAGAGAGAGAGACGUAGACACAAAGUCACAAGAACCCAAAAGCUUGAAUCAUCUUUCCAAAAAUUUGAUGUUUUCUUUUUUACUUUCAUUUCUUUUGAGAAACGAGAAAAUGGGUUCACGGGUUUAUUAUUGCAUAGUGCAUACUAGUAUUAUGUGUUCGGUGAAUAUAUUGUCUCAGUGUAGUGUACGUACCAUCUAACCAUCACCUCCUCUGUUAUGGCUGCUGCGUGGGGCCAUGUGAAUGUGAUUCAAGAACUGUGGAGGAGUUAGAGGGACGGUCAACAACUCUGACUUGCUUGCCAACAAGGAAGAAUCUAUCAACCCCCA